rnacentral:rRNA from 1 species
GCAAGUCGAGCGGUAACAGGGGUAGCUUGCUAUUUUGCUGACGAGUGGCGGACGGGUGAGUAAUGCUUGGGAAUUUGCCUUGUUGUGGGGGACAACAGUUGGAAACGACUGCUAAUACCGCAUAAUCUCUUAGGAGCAAAGGUGGCCUCUAUUUAUAUGCUAUCGCAACAAGAUGAGCCCAAGUGGGAUUAGCUGGUUGGUAAGGUAAUGGCUUACCAAGGCGACGAUCCCUAGCUGGUCUUAGAGGAUGACC